GGCGUAGCUAGGUAUUCAGUCAACUGUAGGCACCAAUCGGCAGGGGGUCUGGGGGCCGAUUAAGGCCCCCACCAGGUCCAGGACAGAGCCCUUGAAGGGGUUCAGGGGUCGAAGCCCUCGACGGAAAACGGUUUUCAGCGUUUUAGCUGCAAAAUUUUAUGUACAAAAAUAUUAAAUUUACUGGUUAUUUAAUCAUAAUAAUUAUAAUAUACAUGAUGAAAAGCUCGAAG
rnacentral:lncRNA from 1 species